ensembl:lncRNA
GGGCGACCCCUUCUGCACUCCUCUGGAGCAGUGCACUUGACAGAAACUCAUUAAUUAUCUUGGGCGGGGUAGCAUCUCGCAAAGCCUUCACGAAAGGAUGCCAGUCACCUGCCCACUUGAGCUGAAAAAUCGUUAGAGACUCUUAACAUUCUUGCCUACGUGUUCAUCUCGUCAGUGGGAGAAUACUGCCUGCUGUCCGACACUGUCAGACUCUAUUGUACUGGAGCUGAACACAGAGGCCCGGUUUGAAGCUGAAAUGGAGAAGACAGUUGUGAAAGAAGAAAAAUGCAGUUAAAAGCUCAAGAGGAGAAAUGCAUUUGUGACAGGCAGCGGCUGCUGUGCUUCACAGGACUGAGGUGGAUUUUGAAGAGGACAGAGCCGCAUGUUUCAGAUUUGAAAGGAUGAAUCUGUCAUAAGCAGAGAGCACUUUGGAGAUAUUGCAGUGUUGUGAUAAGUUAAAGUUCCUACCUACUUUGUUACUAUGGCAUCCUUUCCUGGCAGGAUUUGGUAAACAGAGCAAGAUUGUGAUGAAGAAAAAAAAUAAAACUAUGUAAGAAAGAAAGAUGUAUAUGUUU